rnacentral:tRNA from 1 species
GCGGAUAUGGCGUAAUUGGCAGCCGCGCAAGACUUAGGAUCUUGUGGGGAAACCCGUGGGGGUUCGAGUCCCUCUAUCCGCACCA